rnacentral:misc_RNA from 1 species
GUAUUUAGGUUCGACCGUUUCUGGUCAUGACAUUCUACAAUACUUGUUAACGUUUGUGUGUGAAGGGGGGUUCGAAGCGUGGUCCCGGCUCGACCACCGGCGGUAAGGCCGGAGGGAGCUGCUCCCAUGACGGGGGACCGACGCCUCUCAUAAUGCACAGGGGUUGUGAGUGGAUGAGGGGACGAGCACGUGCCGCGGACGGCCAGCAUCAAUCCCCAAGUGAACUCGUUAAUGAUCCUUCCGCAGGUUCACCUACGGAAA